GCCGUUCUAGCUCAGUUGGUAGAGCACUACAUUGGUAAUGUAGAGGUCUUGGGUUCAAUUCCCAAGAACGGCA
rnacentral:tRNA from 1 species